GACAGCUGAGGCAUCAGAGGCACUGGGAAGUGGCAGGAAUACUGAUUCCAGCGCAACUGCAUAUGGAAAGGGAAUAAGAAAUGCAGCCCAUAGAGAACUGUCAUGGAAGCUGUAUUCUGCCGGACCAACCUUUUAUUAAUGAUGCAGCCACAGGAGCUCAUUAAGCAUCUGCAGACUACUAGGAUUUUACAUAAAGCACAAACAACAGCCAUAUGGUAGCAAGCAGCCACUCGCAGCCCCACAGCAGCUAAGGAGUCCGCGCAGGCUGGCGGCCAGCAGCACGUGCCCCAGGAGCAGCAGCAGCACCCGCUGCAGAGACAAGGACAGGGGCUGCUCCCAGAUGGCGGGGAUGCAGAGCUCCAUCUCUCAGCCUGAGCUUCCUGCUUCUGCACCUGUCACAUCUGCCCCUGUGGCUCAGUACCCACCGCCACCACCCUCCACUCGGGCACACUACAUAAUCUGCACACACCUCUG